rnacentral:rRNA from 1 species
AACGAACGCUGGCGGCAUGCCUAACACAUGCAAGUCGAACGAGACCUUCGGGUCUAGUGGCGCACGGGUGCGUAACGCGUGGGAACCUGCCUUUAGGUUCGGAAUAACUCAGAGAAAUUUGAGCUAAUACCGGAUAAUGUCUUCGGACCAAAGAUUUAUCGCCUUUAGAUGGGCCCGCGUAAGAUUAGCUAGUUGGUGGGGUAAAGGCCUACCAAGGCGACGAUCUUUAGCUGGUCUGAGAGGAUGAUCAGCCACACUGGGACUGAGACACGGCCCAGACUCCUACGGGAGGCAGCAGUGGGGAAUUUUACGCAAUGGGGGAAACCCUGACGUAGCGACACCGCGUGAGCGAAGAAGCCCUUUGGGGUGUAAAGCUCUGUCAACAGGAACGAAAAAAUAGACGGUACCUGUGGAGGAGCAUCGGCUAACUACGUGCCAG